CUGACCUGACUGCACUCAGAAACCAAAAUUCUGCAGGUGAAUGUAGGCUCCCAUUUCGUUCCACAAUCAUUUCAUCAUUCAGGCACAGCUUGACCUCUAAUGUGACAUCACAAACGCUUCUGGUCCACAGUUUUUUUUCCUCUUCAGAAACUACCCUAAACAAGGAAGUUUGUGUUCCAAGGUAAGAGAACCUGAAGUGAAAAACUCAGGAUCCUUCACGAACAGCCUGACCCUGCUUUCAACCAGGAAGUUCAAGGGAGGCAGGACUUUACGGUCAAAACUGCAAAGCCGAAGCUCAAGACUGUAAGAAGAAAGUGGUCUUCAAAGAAAAGGAUUCACCCAAAUCGAAGAGGAUAUCGUUUCGCAACAGGGACACUCGUCUCCACACCUCCUACCUCAAAGUCCUGCGCACCUACCCUUCAUGUCUCUCCAAAGCAACUGAAUUAAAGCGCCUACUGGCCUUGGCGGCGCAGGAUAAUACACAGACUUCUCAUGAAAAUCAACCAACAUAUAGAAGAAUAUAUAGAAUAAAGCAAAAAUCAUCAGAAACUCCACAGUCUUGGAUGACCAUAGUUGAUAUUCUGAAUGGCUUCUGUUCCGAUUGAACCUUGACUGAUGUAGCACCUAUCACCAAAUUGCUGUUCAGGAAAUAUGUCCUAAAGAAACUCCCAACAACAGCAAUACAUCAGAGUGGCACCUCUUUACACUGGUUCUUGGUAGGUACUGUCAAUAUUUUUCAACUUUGGCAAAGUAAUACUCAAAACAAAAAAAAAUUAGUAGUGGUUUAUAUUUGCAUUUCUUGAGUUCAAAA
rnacentral:lncRNA from 1 species